rnacentral:rRNA from 1 species
UACGUAGGGUGCGAGCGUUGCCCGGAUUUAUUGGGCGUAAAGGGCGCGCAGGCGGCCACGCACGUCCGUUGUGAAAUCGCCCGGCUCAACUGGGCGGGGUCAGCGGAUACGGCGUGGCUGGAGCAAGCUAGGGGGCAAUGGAAUUCCCGGUGUAGUGGUGGAAUGCGUAGAUAUCGGGAGGAACACCAGUGGCGAAGGCGGUUGCCUGGAGCUUUGCUGACGCUGAGGCGCGAAAGCGUGGGGAGCGAGUCGG